AUUGAACGCUGGCGGCAGGCCUAACACAUGCAAGUCGAGCGAGCGGCGGACGGGUGAGUAAUGUCUGGGAAACUGCCUGAUGGAGGGGGAUAACUACUGGAAACGGUAGCUAAUACCGCAUACCAUCAAAUCUGCCCAGAUGGGAUUAGCUAGUAGGUGGGGUAACGGCUCACCUAGGGGACGAUCCCUAGCUGGUCUGAGAGGAUGAUCAGCCACACUGGAACUGAGACACGGUCCAGACUCCUACGGGAGGCAGCAGUGGGGAAUAUUGGACAAUGGGCGAAAGCCUGAUGCAGCCAUGCCGCGUGUGUGAAGAAGGCCUUCGGAUUGUAAAGCACUUUCAGCGGGGAGGCGUUACCCGCAGAAGAAGCACCGGCUAACUCCGUGCCAGCAGCCGCGGUAAUAC
rnacentral:rRNA from 1 species